GACGAACGCUGGCGGCGUGCCUAAUACAUGCGAGUUGAGCGCUGAAGGUUGGUACUUGUACCAACUGGAUGAGCAGCGAACGGGUGAGUAACGCGUGGGGAAUCUGCCUUUGAGCGGGGGACAACAUUUGGAAACGAAUGCUAAUACCGCAUAAAAACUUUAAACACAAGUUUUAAGUUUGAAAGAUGCAAUUGCAUCACUCAAAGAUGAUCCCGCGUUGUAUUAGCUAGUUGGUGAGGUAAAGGCUCACCAAGGCGAUGAUACAUAGCCGACCGGAGAGGGUGGUCGGCCAGAGUGAGACGGAGUCAGGGCCCAAACUCAUACGGGAGGCAGCAGUAGGGAAGCUUCAGCGAUGGACGAGAGUAUGACCGAGCAAGGCCGCGUGAGUGAAGAAGGGUUUCGGAUCGUAAGUCUCUGUUGGUAGAGAAGAACGUUGGUGAGAGUGGAAAGCUCAUCAAGUGACGGUAACUACCCAGAAAGGGACGGCUAACUACGUG
rnacentral:rRNA from 1 species